CGCGAGGUUGCAGCGCCUGUGAGGAUCCGGAGGCUGACCGUCCUUGGAGACUUGCCGGAUCUCCACAGACCUGUCUGUCCCUCUAUCGUCUCUUUUACCUGCUUUAGUGCAUACUAAAGCUCUCCCUUCCUCAAGGCGGUGGAAUUUGAUCCUGAGACGUUUCUUCACUAUUCAUAUAUAUAUACCAGUGGAAACCAGAAGAACAUCUACCAAGAUCAGAGAAACGAAGAGGAGAAUUCUGCCUGUUGGAAAAUAUUCCAAUAUGGACGGUUUCCUUUUAUUUAAAAAAAAAAAAAAUAUAUAUA